AUUGAACGCUGGCGGAAUGCUUUACACAUGCAAGUCGAACGGCAGCACGGACUUCGGUCUGGUGGCGAGUGGCGAACGGGUGAGUAAUGUAUCGGAACGUGCCCGGUCGUGGGGGAUAACGUAGUGAAAAUUACGCUAAUACCGCAUACGAUCUAUGGAUGAAAGCGGGGAAUCGCAAGACCUCGCGCGAUUGGAGCGGCCGAUAUCAGAUUAGGUAGUUGGUGGGGUAAAGGCCCACCAAGCCAACGAUCUGUAGCUGGUCUGAGAGGACGACCAGCCACACUGGAACUGAGACACGGUCCAGACUCCUACGGGAGGCAGCAGUGGGGAAUUUUGGACAAUGGGCGAAAGCCUGAUCCAGCCAUUCCGCGUGCAGGAUGAAGGCCCUCGGGUUGUAAACUGCUUUUGUACAGAACGAAAAGGUUUCUACUAAUACUAGGAGCUCAUGACGGUACUGUAAGAAUAAGCACCGGCUAACUACGUGCCAGCCGCCGCAGUAA
rnacentral:rRNA from 1 species